AACUAACAAGGAUUCCCCUAGUAACUGCGAGUGAAGCGGGAAAAGCUCAAAUUUAAAAUCUGGCAGUCUUUGGCUGUCCGAGUUGUAAUCUAGAGAAGUAUUAUCCGCGCUGGACCGUGUACAAGUCUCCUGGAAUGGAGCGUCAUAGAGGGUGAGAAUCCCGUCUUUGACACGGACUGCCAGGGCUUUGUGAUAUGCUCUCAAAGAGUCGAGUUGUUUGGGAAUGCAGCUCAAAAUGGGUGGUAAAUUCCAUCUAAAGCUAAAUAUUGGCGAGAGACCGAUAGCGAACAAGUACCGUGAGGGAAAGAUGAAAAGAACUUUGGAAAGAGAGUUAAACAGUACGUGAAAUUGCUGAAAGGGAAACGCUUGAAGUCAGUCGCGUUGGCCAGGGAUCAACCUUGCUUUUGCUUGGCUUACUUUCUGGUCGAUGGGUCAGCAUCAAUUUUGACUGGUGGAAAAAGUUCAAGGGAAUGUGGCAUCUUCGGAUGUGUUAUAGCCUUUGUUCACAUACAUUGGUUGGGAUUGAGGAACUCAGCACGCCGCAAGGCCGGGUUUUUAACCACGUACGUGCUUAGGAUGCUGGCAUAAUGGCUUUAAUCGACCCGUCUUGAAACACGGACCAAGGAGUCUAACAUGCCUGCGAGUAUUUGGGUGAAAAACCCGAGUGCGUAAUGAAAGUGAAAGUUGAGAUCCCUGUCGUGGGGAGCAUUGACGCCCGGAUCUGACCUUUUGUGACGAUUCUGCGGUAGAGCAUGUAUGUUGGGACCCGAAAGAUGGUGAACUAUGCCUGAAUAGGGUGAAGCCAGAGGAAACUCUGGUGGAGGCUCGUAGCGAUUCUGACGUGCAAAUCGAUCGUCAAAUUUGGGUAUAGGGGCGAAAGACUAAUCGAACCAUCUAGUAGCUGGUC
rnacentral:rRNA from 3 species